UCUUUUGAGGUGCAUCAAGCCAA
rnacentral:piRNA from 1 species